GAUGAACGCUGGCGGCGUGCCUAAUACAUGCAAGUCGAGCGAACAGACGAGGAGCUUGCUCCUCUGACGUUGGCGGCGGACGGGUGAGUAACACGUGGAUAACCUACCUAUAAGACUGGGAUAACUUCGGGAAACCGGAGCUAAUACCGGAUAAUAUAUUGAACCGCAUGGUUCAAUAGUGAAAGACGGUUUUGCUGUCACUUAUAGAUGGAUCCGCGCCGCAUUAGCUAGUUGGUAAGGUAACGGCUUACCAAGGCAACGAUGCGUAGCCGACCUGAGAGGGUGAUCGGCCACACGGGAACUGAGACACGGUCCAGACUCCUACGGGAGGCAGCAGUAGGGAAUGUGCCGCAAUGGGCGAAAGCCUGACGGAGCAACGCCGCGUGAGUGAUGAAGGUCUUCGGAUCGUAAAACUCUGUUAUUAGGGAAGAACAAAUGUGUAAGUAACUAUGCACGUCUUGACGGUACCUAAUCAGAAAGCCACGGCUAACUACGUG
rnacentral:rRNA from 1 species